rnacentral:rRNA from 1 species
GGGUUGUGAGGUUAAGCGACUAAGCGUACACGGUGGAUGCCCUGGCAGUCAGAGGCGAUGAAGGACGUGCUAAUCUGCGAAAAGCGUCGGUAAGGUGAUAUGAACCGUUAUAACCGGCGAUGUCCGAAUGGGGAAACCCAGUGCAAUUCGUUGCACUAUCGUUAACUGAAUACAUAGGUUAACGAGGCGAACCGGGGGAACUGAAACAUCUAAGUACCCCGAGGAAAAGAAAUCAACCGAGAUUCCCCCAGUAGCGGCGAGCGAACGGGGAGCAGCCCAGAGUCUGAAUCAGCUUGUGUGUUAGUGGAACGGUCUGGAAAGUCCGACGGUACAGGGUGAUAGUCCCGUACACCAAAAUGCACAGGUUGUGAACUCGAAGAGUAGGGCGGGACACGUGGUAUCCUGUCUGAAUAUGGGGGGACCAUCCUCCAAGGCUAAAUACUCCUGACUGACCGAUAGUGAACCAGUACCGUGAGGGAAAGGCGAAAAGAACCCCGGCGAGGGGAGUGAAAAAGAACCUGAAACCGUGUACGUACAAGCAGUGGGAGCACCUUCGGGUGUGACUGCGUACCUUUUGUAUAAUGGGUCAGCGACUUAUAUUCUGUAGCAAGGUUAACCGUAUAGGGGAGCCGCAGGGAAACCGAGUCUUAACUGGGCGUUAAGUUGCAGGGUAUAGACCCGAAACCCGGUGAUCUAGCCAUGGGCAGGUUGAAGGUUGGGUAACACUAACUGGAGGACCGAACCGACUAAUGUUGAAAAAUUAGCGGAUGACUUGUGGCUGGGGGUGAAAGGCCAAUCAAACCGGGAGAUAGCUGGUUCUCCCCGAAAGCUAUUUAGGUAGCGCCUCGUGAACUCAUCUUCGGGGGUAGAGCACUGUUUCGGCUAGGGGGUCAUCCCGACUUACCAACCCGAUGCAAACUACGAAUACCGAAGAAUGUUAUCACGGGAGACACACGGCGGGUGCUAACGUCCGUCGUGAAGAGGGAAACAACCCAGACCGCCAGCUAAGGUCCCAAAGUCAUGGUUAAGUGGGAAACGAUGUGGGAAGGCACAGACAGCCAGGAUGUUGGCUUAGAAGCAGCCAUCAUUUAAAGAAAGCGUAAUAGCUCACUGGUCGAGUCGGCCUGCGCGGAAGAUGUAACGGGGCUAAACCAUGCACCGAAGCUGCGGCAGCGACACUAUGUGUUGUUGGGUAGGGGAGCGUUCUGUAAGCCUGCGAAGGUGUGCUGUGAGGCAUGCUGGAGGUAUCAGAAGUGCGAAUGCUGACAUAAGUAACGAUAAAGCGGGUGAAAAGCCCGCUCGCCGGAAGACCAAGGGUUCCUGUCCAACGUUAAUCGGGGCAGGGUGAGUCGACCCCUAAGGCGAGGCCGAAAGGCGUAGUCGAUGGGAAACAGGUUAAUAUUCCUGUACUUGGUGUUACUGCGAAGGGGGGACGGAGAAGGCUAUGUUAGCCGGGCGACGGUUGUCCCGGUUUAAGCAUGUAGGCUGAUUGUCCAGGCAAAUCCGGAUAAUCAAGGCUGAGGUGUGAUGACGAGGCACUACGGUGCUGAAGUAACAAAUGCCCUGCUUCCAGGAAAAGCCUCUAAGCAUCAGGUAACAUCAAAUCGUACCCCAAACCGACACAGGUGGUCAGGUAGAGAAUACCAAGGCGCUUGAGAGAACUCGGGUGAAGGAACUAGGCAAAAUGGUGCCGUAACUUCGGGAGAAGGCACGCUGGUGUGUAGGUGAAGUCCCUGCGGAUGGAGCUGAGACCAGUCGAAGAUACCAGCUGGCUGCAACUGUUUAUUAAAAACACAGCACUGUGCAAACACGAAAGUGGACGUAUACGGUGUGACGCCUGCCCGGUGCCGGAAGGUUAAUUGAUGGGGUUAUCCGUAAGGAGAAGCUCUUGAUCGAAGCCCCGGUAAACGGCGGCCGUAACUAUAACGGUCCUAAGGUAGCGAAAUUCCUUGUCGGGUAAGUUCCGACCUGCACGAAUGGCGUAAUGAUGGCCAGGCUGUCUCCACCCGAGACUCAGUGAAAUUGAACUCGCUGUGAAGAUGCAGUGUACCCGCGGCAAGACGGAAAGACCCCGUGAACCUUUACUAUAGCUUGACACUGAACAUUGAGCCUUGAUGUGUAGGAUAGGUGGGAGGCUUUGAAGCGUGGACGCCAGUCUGCGUGGAGCCAACCUUGAAAUACCACCCUUUAAUGUUUGAUGUUCUAACGUUGGCCCCUGACCGGGGUUGCGGACAGUGUCUGGUGGGUAGUUUGACUGGGGCGGUCUCCUCCCAAAGCGUAACGGAGGAGCACGAAGGUUAGCUAAUCCUGGUCGGACAUCAGGAGGUUAGUGCAAUGGCAUAAGCUAGCUUGACUGCGAGCGUGACGGCGCGAGCAGGUGCGAAAGCAGGUCAUAGUGAUCCGGUGGUUCUGAAUGGAAGGGCCAUCGCUCAACGGAUAAAAGGUACUCCGGGGAUAACAGGCUGAUACCGCCCAAGAGUUCAUAUCGACGGCGGUGUUUGGCACCUCGAUGUCGGCUCAUCACAUCCUGGGGCUGAAGUAGGUCCCAAGGGUAUGGCUGUUCGCCAUUUAAAGUGGUACGCGAGCUGGGUUUAGAACGUCGUGAGACAGUUCGGUCCCUAUCUGCCGUGGGCGCUGGAGAAUUGAGGGGGGCUGCUCCUAGUACGAGAGGACCGGAGUGGACGCAUCACUGGUGUUCGGGUUGUCAUGCCAAUGGCACUGCCCGGUAGCUAAAUGCGGAAGAGAUAAGUGCUGAAAGCAUCUAAGCACGAAACUUGCCCCGAGAUGAGUUCUCCCGGAGACUUUAAGUCUCCUGAGGGAACGUUGAAGACGACGACGUUGAUAGGCCGGGUGUGUAAGCGCAGCGAUGCGUUGAGCUAACCGGUACU